CGUACACUCCUGCGGGAGGCAGCAGUGAGGAAUAUUGGACAAUGGGUGGAAGCCUGAUCCAGCCAUCCCGCGUGCAGGAAGACGGCCCUAUGGGUUGUAAACUGCUUUUAUCUGGGGAUAAACCUACUUACGUGUAAGUAGCUGAAGGUACCAGAAGAAUAAGCACCGGCUAACUCCGUGCCAGCAGCCGCGGUAAUACGGAGGGUGCAAGCGUUAUCCGGAUUUAUUGGGUUUAAAGGGUCCGUAGGCGGACUGAUAAGUCAGUGGUGAAAUCCGACAGCUUAACUGUCGAACUGCCAUUGAUACUGUUAGUCUUGAGUAAGGUUGAAGUGGCUGGAAUAAGUAGUGUAGCGGUGAAAUGCAUAGAUAUUACUUAGAACACCAAUUGCGAAGGCAGGUCACUAAGUCUUAACUGACGCUGAUGGACGAAAGCGUGGGGAGCGAACAGGAUUAGAAACCCGGGUAGUCCCAUG
rnacentral:rRNA from 1 species